CCCAACUGCUCCUGCAGUGCGAGUCCCGAGAGGCGACUGGACCCCUGAGGCCCCGCGCUCAGGACAGACCUUCAGAAGUACUCGUGGACAACUGUAUAUAGAGAAUACAUGUAAGGAAUCGACAACUAUUCUUAUUUGUCAGUAAGAAUAUUCAACUCUUCUGGAUUUGCAGUGAAACCAACUUCUGAGAUUACUUCUCUAAGCGAGAUCUGUGGAAGAGAUUAAUUCCUGGGUCAAAAG